rnacentral:rRNA from 1 species
GGGGGGGGGGGGGGGGGGGCGGGGGGCGGGGGGGGCGGGGGGGGGGGCGGGGGGGGGGUCUUCGGGAGGGAGGGGACGGGCGUAGUGGGGAACGGGUGAGUAACGCGUUGGGAGCCUGCCUUAGACAAGGGGAUCGCCCGUGGAAACGGAGAAUCAUACCCCAUGAAACCAGCCAAUCGCAUGAUCAUCUUGUCAAACUGUGUAGUGGUUUCAGCUGGACUUGCUUCUGAUUAGCUCGUUGGUGAGAUAAAAGCUCCCCAAGGCAACGAGCAGUAGCCGGCUUGGGAGAGUGGACGGCCCCCCUGGGACUGAGACAAGGCGCAGACUCCUACGGGAGGGAGCAGUGGGGAAGUUUGCACAAUGGGGGAAACCCGGAUGCAGCGACGCCGCGUGAUUUAGAAGGCCGUCGGGUUGUAAAAAUCUUUUGUAUAGGAAGAAAAUGACAGUACUAUACGAAUAAGGUCCGGCUAAUUACGUG